GACGAACGCUGGCGGCGUGCCUAAUACAUGCAAGUAGAACGCUGAAGGAGGAGCUUGCUUCUCUGGAUGAGUUGCGAACGGGUGAGUAACGCGUAGGUAACCUGCCUGGUAGCGGGGGAUAACUAUUGGAAACGAUAGCUAAUACCGCAUAAUAGUAGAUGUUGCAUGACAUUUGCUUAAAAGGUGCAAUUGCAUCACUACCAGAUGGACCUGCGUUGUAUUAGCUAGUUGGUGGGGUAACGGCUCACCAAGGCGACGAUACAUAGCCGACCUGAGAGGGUGAUCGGCCACACUGGGACUGAGACACGGCCCAGACUCCUACGGGAGGCAGCAGUAGGGAAUCUUCGGCAAUGGACGGAAGUCUGACCGAGCAACGCCGCGUGAGUGAAGAAGGUUUUCGGAUCGUAAAGCUCUGUUGUAAGAGAAGAACGAGUGUGAGAGUGGAAAGUUCACACUGUGACGGCAUCUUACCAGAAAGGGACGGCUAACUACGUG
rnacentral:rRNA from 1 species